ACAGAGGGUGCAAGCGUUAAUCGGAAUUACUGGGCGUAAAGGGUGCGUAGGUGGUCAAAUAAGUUAGGUGUGAAAGCCCCGGGCUUAACCUGGGAAUUGCGCCUAAUACUGAUUGGCUAGAGUACUGUAGAGGAAAGUGGAAUCUCCGGUGUAGCGGUGAAAUGCGUAGAUAUCGGAAGGAACAUCAGUGGCGAAGGCGACUUUCUGGACAGAUACUGACACUGAGGCACGAAAGCAUGGGGAGCAAACAGGA
rnacentral:rRNA from 1 species